rnacentral:rRNA from 1 species
GCCUACGGGAGGCAGCAGUGGGGAAUAUUGGGCAAUGGGCGCAAGCCUGACCCAGCAACGCCGCGUGAAGGAAGAAGGCUUUCGGAUUGUAAACCUCUGUGGAGGGGGACGAUAAUGACGGUACCCCUUUAGGAAGCCACGGCUAGCUACGUGCCAGCAGCCGCGGUAAUACGUAGGUGGCGAGCGUUGUCCGGAAUUACUGGGUGUAAAGGGAGUGUAGGCGGGAAAGCAAGUCAGAAGUGAAAACUAUGGGCUUAACCCAUAGCCUGCUUUUGAAACUGUUUUUCUUGAGUGAAGGAGAGGCA